rnacentral:rRNA from 1 species
UACGUAGGGGGCAAGCGUUGUCCGGAUUUAUUGGGCGUAAAGAGCGUGUAGGCGGUUUGGUAGGUCCGCUGUGAAAACUCGAGGCUCAACCUCGAGACGCCGGUGGAAACCAUCAGGCUAGAGUCCGGAAGAGGAGAGUGGAAUUCCCGGUGUAGCGGUGAAAUGCGCAGAUAUCGGGAAGAACACCCGUGGCGAAGGCGGCUCUCUGGGCCGAUACUGACGCUGAGGAGCGAAAGCGUGGGGAGCGAACAGG